rnacentral:rRNA from 1 species
UACGUAGGGUGCAAGCGUUGUCCGGAAUCAUUGGGCGUAAAGAGCUCGUAGGCGGUCUGUCGCGUCUGCUGUGAAAACCCGAGGCUCAACCUCGGGCCUGCAGUGGGUACGGGCAGACUAGAGUGCGGUAGGGGAGAAUGGAAUUCCUGGUGUAGCGGUGGAAUGCGCAGAUAUCAGGAGGAACACCGAUGGCGAAGGCAGUUCUCUGGGCCGUAACUGACGCUGAGGAGCGAAAGCGUGGGGAGCGAACAGG